AACGAACGCUGGCGGCAGGCCUAACACAUGCAAGUCGAACGCACCGCAAGGUGAGUGGCGCACGGGUGAGUAACACGUGGGAAUGUACCCUUUGGUUCGGAAUAACGUUUGGAAACGAACGCUAAUACCGGAUGAGCCCUGCGGGGAAAGAUUUAUCGCCAAAGGAGCAGCCCGCGUCUGAUUAGCUAGUUGGUGGGGUAAAGGCCUACCAAGGCGACGAUCAGUAGCUGGUCUGAGAGGAUGAUCAGCCACACUGGGACUGAGACACGGCCCAGACUCCUACGGGAGGCAGCAGUGGGGAAUAUUGGACAAUGGGCGCAAGCCUGAUCCAGCCAUGCCGCGUGAGUGAUGAAGGCCUUCGGGUUGUAAAGCUCUUUCGCACGCGACGAUGAUGACGGUAGCGUGAGAAGAAGCCCGGCUAACUUCGUGCCAGCAGCCGCGGUAAU
rnacentral:rRNA from 1 species